rnacentral:rRNA from 1 species
UACGUAGGGUGCGAGCGUUGUCCGGAAUUAUUGGGCGUAAAGAGCUUGUAGGCGGUUUGUCGCGUCUGCUGUGAAAAAUCCGGGGCUCAACCCCCGGACUUGCAGUGGGUACGGGGCAGACUAGAGUGUGGUAGGGGGAGACUGGAAUUCCUGGUGUAGCGGUGAAAUGCGCAGAUAUCAGGAGGAACACCGAUGGCGAAGGCAGGUCUCUGGGCCACUACU